rnacentral:lncRNA from 1 species
CAGCUUAUCCACGGGAAGGGUUUGGUGCUGAGCCCCUCUUGGGCACCAAAGCCUGACCCUCGUUCCCUGGUGUUUUGCAUCUCUUCUCCCUUCAUUGGAGCCUCAUCUUCACUUCUCAGGUGUGGCCGGAAGGGCGCAGGGAUUAGAUACGGGUGUAUGCUCCUGGAACCGCACUUGGAAGCUAACUUGGGUCAAAACCUUAACACGUUCGCCCGGGUCUAGUAAAAAGGACUCCACAUGGUGGAAGGAGCGAAGUAACUCCCAGAAGUUGUCCUCUGAUCUCCACACGUGAAAUGUGUUCCUGACAGUGGAAGGCUCUAAACUAGCAAGAAUUUU